UCUGGGAGGACCAUCUCCUAAGGCUAAAUACUCUCUAGUGACCGAUAGUGAACCAGUACCGUGAGGGAAAGGUGAAAAGUACCCCGGAAGGGGAGUGAAAGAGAACUUGAAACCGUGUGCUUACAAGUAGUCAGAGCCCGUUAAUGGGUGAUGGCGUGCCUUUUGUAGAAUGAACCGGCGAGUUACGAUCUGAUGCAAGGUUAAGCAGCAAAUGUGGAGCCGCAGCGAAAGCGAGUCUGAAUAGGGCGUUGAGUAUUUGGUCGUAGACCCGAAACCAGGUGAUCUACCCUUGGUCAGGUUGAAGUUCAGGUAACACUGAAUGGAGGACCGAACCGACUUACGUUGAAAAGUGAGCGGAUGAACUGAGGGUAGCGGAGAAAUUCCAAUCGAACUUGGAGAUAGCUGGUUCUCUCCGAAAUAGCUUUAGGGCUAGCCUCAAGUGAUGAUUAUUGGAGGUAGAGCACUGUUUGGACGAGGGGCCCCUCUCGGGUUACCGAAUUCAGACAAACUCCGAAUGCCAAUUAAUUUAACUUGGGAGUCAGAACAUGGGUGAUAAGGUCCGUGUUCGAAAGGGAAACAGCCCAGACCACCAGCUAAGGUCCCAAAAUAUAUGUUAAGUGGAAAAGGAUGUGGCGUUGCCCAGACAACUAGGAUGUUGGCUUAGAAGCAGCCAUCAUUUAAAGAGUGCGUAAUAGCUCACUAGUCGAGUGACACUGCGCCGAAAAUGUACCGGGGCUAAACAUAUUACCGAAGCUGUGGAUUGUCCUUUGGACAAUGGUAGGAGAGCGUUCUAAGGGCGUCGAAGCAUGAUCGCAAGGACAUGUGGAGCGCUUAGAAGUGAGAAUGCCGGUGUGAGUAGCGAAAGACGGGUGAGAAUCCCGUCCACCGAUUGACUAAGGUUUCCAGAGGAAGGCUCGUCCGCUCUGGGUUAGUCGGGUCCUAAGCUGAGGCCGACAGGCGUAGGCGAUGGAUAACAGGUUGAUAUUCCUGUACCACCUAGUAUCGUUUUAAUCGAUGGGGGGACGCAG
rnacentral:rRNA from 1 species